UACGGGGGAUGCGAGCGUUAUCCGGAUUUAUUGGGUUUAAAGGGUGCGCAGGCGGCACGGCAAGCCGGCGGUCAAAUCGCGGGGCUCAACCCCGCCCAGCCGUCGGAACUGCCGGGCUAGAGUGGGCGAGAAGUGCGCGGAAUGCGUGGUGUAGCGGUGAAAUGCAUAGAUAUCACGCAGAACUCCGAUUGCGAAGGCAGCGCACCGGCGCCCUACUGACGCUCAGGCACGAAAGCGUGGGUAUCGAACAGG
rnacentral:rRNA from 1 species